rnacentral:rRNA from 1 species
CGGCCGCGUCGACCCAGACAGGUGCUGCGAUGGUUGUCGUCAGCUCGUGUCGUGAGAUGUUGGGUUAAGUCCCGCAACGAGCGCAACCCUUAUCCUUAGUAGCCAGCGGUUCGGCCGGGCACUCUAGGGAGACUGCCAGGGAUAACCUGGAGGAAGGUGGGGAUGACGUCAAAUCAUCAUGCCCCUUAUGAUUUGGGCUACACACGUGCUACAAUGGCGUAAACAAAGGGAAGCGAACCCGUGAGGGGAAGCAAAUCUCAAAAAUAACGUCUCAGUUCGGAUUGUAGUCUGCAACUCGACUACAUGAAGCUGGAAUCGCUAGUAAUCGCGAAUCAGCAUGUCGCGGUGAAUACGUUCCCGGGUCUUGUACACACCGCCCGUCGACGCGGCCG